rnacentral:misc_RNA from 1 species
AAGCCUAGCUUGGUGUUGGAUUCAGUCGUACCCCAAGGAUGACUGAUCUCAAAAAUAGUGACGGCGUCCUAGAAGGAACCGGUACGAGGAGCUUCUAAUCAAGCAUGUACACGGCAGGAUUCUACGGGCGGUGGUCUUUUUUUUACUUAAAAAUCAUAAGUGUUGACCUCGGAUCAGGUAGGAAUACCCGCUGAACUUAA